UACGAAGGGGGCUAGCGUUGUUCGGAAUUACUGGGCGUAAAGCGCACGUAGGCGGAUCAUUAAGUCAGGGGUGAAAUCCCGGGGCUCAACCUCGGAAUUGCCUUUGAUACUGGUGAUCUUGAGUCCGAGAGAGGUGAGUGGAACUCCGAGUGUAGAGGUGAAAUUCGUAGAUAUUCGGAAGAACACCAGUGGCGAAGGCGGCUCACUGGCUCGGUACUGACGCUGAGGUGCGAAAGCGUGGGGAGCAAACAGGAUUAGAAACCCCCGUAGUCC
rnacentral:rRNA from 1 species